UACAGAGGGUGCUAGCGUUGUUCGGAAUCAUUGGGCGUAAAGGGCGUGUAGGCGGUUUGUUAAGUCAUGUGUGAAAUCCCUCGGCUCAACCGGGGAACGACGCAUGAAACUGGCAAGCUAGAGUACCAAAGAGGGGGGUGGAAUUCCCAGUGUAGUGGUGAAAUACGUAGAGAUUGGGAAGAACACCAGUGGCGAAGGCGGCUAUCUGGACGGUUUCUGACGCUAAGACGCGAAAGCGUGGGGAGCAAACAGG
rnacentral:rRNA from 1 species